rnacentral:lncRNA from 1 species
AUGUCACAGGCACUAGUAUCUCUCGUACUUGAUGUCUUCAGGCGGUGCUGUUCCCUCCGCCCGGAGUGCUUCUCCACUGGAUUUCCAUGUCCUUCCAGACUUGAGUCUGUUAUCUGCAGGAAGAACCCCCAGUAUUUCACAGGGACGUCCAAGCCAGCGUGGAAGAAUGAAGGACCGCACCACCAGGCAGAAACUAAGGGGAGCAACCAGGAGGAAUGUGUCUUGUGUUGGAAGCUACGCAAAACGCCAGGAAGACAUGUCUGCUUUUCUCAUCUAUCAGAGUGUCCUCUUUCAGAGGGCUGGGACUGUCCCUGGAUUUCUUCAGCCUUGCCGUAGAACCUUGCUGAAUGAUAUGAAAAAGGAGAUAGUCGAUAGCAUUUGGGAAAUUGGGUUGUACGGUAAAUGACUUAAAAGAUGCAUAAAGUCUUGCUCUAGAGCAAGACAGUCCUAAACCCUUCUUUCACUUUUGACAUUUAAAUAAAAUACUUA